UUUUCACUUCACAACUUUUCAUUUCUUCUUUCACUUAGUCAGGAGCUUUUGGCCAAAAACUCUCCACUGCUUGGCGAACUGAAUCUGGAAUUCCUCCCAUCAAGUAAAAGCUUUCUCUUCUCUUAAGGGCCUCCUUUGCUAUAACAUGAGCGUAGACAUUCUCUGCCUUAGGGAUAAAAUGAAAGUCGAUCUCCUGGAAUCUAUCUUUUUUGCUUUGUAUGUCUCUGAUAAUUGCUCCAAUGACAGAUUUGUCUGUAUCACUUCUUUGGCAUUUCUUAAUGAUAGUUUUCGAAUCUCCCACUACUUCUAUUUUGUUUAACCCCAUAGAAAUCCCUAAUUUUAUUGCCUGUAAUCCUGCAUAUGAUUCUGCCGUGAACGAAGUUGCUAUCUCGGAGUGCAUGACUGCCUUCGAUGCGAGGAUCUCCCCCUCCUCGUUCAGUACAAGCAAACCCGUAGUCGAUCUGGACGAUAGUCGGUCGAAGGUUGCGUCAAAAUAAACUGUGAUCUUUCCCCUUCUACAUAUCUGUUGAGUAUUUUCAGCUGGUUGAAGAGUAAAUCUUGUCUCCUCUAUUGCAUCCAGUUCUACCAUAUAGUUCCGAGUUUGUCUUGCUAUUUCGAUUCCUGUCAUAUGUCUUCUUUCAUAUAAUAACUUAUUUUUGCUGAACCAGAUUAACCAAAGACCAUAACAAAAGAGCCAGAUCUGCUCAUCUGUUCCUUUAUCAUAGACCCAGGUAAGCCAUUGCCAUAUAUUCAGAUUAUUAUGGCUGAAAACCUAUGCUAGUCUUAACUGAUUCCAAACUUCAAUUGUAAAUGGACAUUGUUGAAAAAUAUGAGUGUUGUCCUUAUCUCCUUGGCGACAUCUAGGACAUUGGGCAUCCACCACAACCCUCUUGAGCCUAAGGUUGACAAGAGACGGAAUGAAGUUCCAAGAUAUUCUCCAAACUGUAAUUUGAAUUUUUGAGGGGAUGUAUAAUUUCCAUAGUUUUCUGUAGAAAUUUUUAAUUUCGGUCUGUCAAAUAAUAGUAUUAGGAUCCAAGCAAAUUUCAUGUAAUAGUUUGUAGGCACUCCUAACGGAGAACUCCCCUGUCAACUCCCCUUUCCAUACUUGAAAAUCUUCGUGUGCUGUCUUCGCUAGCGGGAUCUUCAGAGUUUUUUCCGCUACAUCCAUUUGGAAGGUAUUCCUUGUGACCUUUGUUUUCCAGCUUCUAGUGAUGGCUUCGAUUAAAUUUGAAACUAACUUAAUAUUAUCAUUGUUGUCUUGGUUUGAUAUUCUAUCUGAUUCAUUUCCUGAUAUCAAUAAAUCAUCCCAAACAGAUAUUUGAUCCCCUCUCUCAACCCUCUAGCAUAAUCCUUUCUCCAGAAGCCCUCUCGUAGCCCAAACACUUUUCUAGGUAAGCGAAGGUAAAUUUCCUAAUCGAGCUUUGUAGAAAUUCGAAUUGGGAUAAUAUUUUGCCUUUAAAACGUAGGCUAAUAAUGAAUUUGGGGAAAUUGAUAAGACGCCACCCUGGUUUUGCUAAAAGCGCAACAUUAAACUUCGCAAGAUUUCGAAACCCAAGGCCACCAUCUUCUUUUAAUAAGCAUAAAUCUUUCCAAGCGCACCAAUGAAUACCUUUCCUAUUGUGCUUCUUUUGCCACCAGUAUUUAGCUAUUAUGCCUUCCAAUUCAGCACAUAGAGUUUUAGGAAGUUGAAAACAAGCCAUCGUAUAAGUUGGGAUAGAUUGGAGUAUAGCUUUAAUAAAAACUUCCUUUCCUUAUUGGGAGAGAUAUCUUAUACUCCAAUUGUUAAUUUGUUGUUUAAAUCUAUCCUUCAAAUUUUGAAAUGAUGACCUCUUUUUCCUUCCCACCAUAUUAGGGAGCCCUAGAUAUCUUUCUGGAUCCGUUGACCUUCUUACUCUAAGUAUGUUCGAAACUGCAACCCUUUCCCCUUCUUGUGUAUUUGAACUGAAGAAUACAAUAGAUUUAUCAUAAUUAACACAUUGACCUGAGCUCCUCUCAUACUCAUUCAAAACUUGUUUUAGUAACUGUGCCCCCCUUUCAGUAGCUUCGGCAAAUAAGAUACAGUCAUCUGUAAAGAGUAAAUGAGAGAUGGUUGGCCCACUUCGACUAACUUUAACUCCUUUUAUAAUGUUUCUUGUUCUCGCCAGUCGCAUUAGACUCGAAAGCCCUUCCCCACAAAGUAAAAACAAAAAUAGACUUAAAGGGUCCCCUUGUCUAAGACCUCUAGAUGGAAGAAAAUUUUCUCCUACAUUUUCGUUGAAAACUACAGAAUAUGAUACUAUAGACACACAAUUCAUUAACGAACUAACCCAUCUUGGGUCAAAUCCCAUUUUCGUCAUUACUCUUUCACAAAGCUCCAUUCAACCUUAUCAUAUGCCUUACUCAUAUCCAGUUUCACAGCCAUAAACCCUUUUUUUCCUGUCCUUUUGUGCUUUAAAGUGUGCAGAACUUCAUAAGCUAGUAAUACGUUAUCGAAAAUCAGUCUUCCUAGAACAAAAGCACUUUGUGCUGAAUCAAUGCAUUUAUGAAUCACUGCCCGAAGCCGAUUAGCAAUGACCUUAGCUAUCAAUUUAUAAAUCACAUUGCAUAAGCUAAUUGGCCUAAAUUGAGUAAUACUGAAAGGGUUUAAAAUUUUUGGGAUUAGCACAAUAUUUGUUUUGUUGAUUGAAUGUAAUUCCAUACUUUCAUUUAAUCUUUGAAGGCAAAAAGUGGAUACAUCCUCCCCAACGAUCGGCCAACAUUUUUUAUAGAAUAAGACUGGAAAACUAUCCUCUCCAGGUGCUUUUGUAGGACCCAUUUCUAAUAGAGCUUCUCUUAUUUCCUCCUUGGUGUAUCUUGUCUUUAAUUUCUCAUUAUCUUCAUAAAAAAUGCAUCUGUCAAUUCCGGACAAGAUUUUAGAGAAGAUAUCUUGUCUUCCUGCUGAAAAUAAUUUUAGAAAAUACGAUCUAGCAAUUUCCUCCAUCUCUUUAACCUCCUCUGUCUCUCAACCGUCUUCAAACUGCAUCUUGUGAAUAAAAUUACACUUUUUUCUUUGGGUCGCCUGCUUAUGAAAAAAAGCUGUAUUUUUGUCUCAAGUUUCAACCAAUUUAUUUAGGCCCUCUGCUCCUAAUAGCAUUCAUCCUUUUCAAUCUCAAAAUUCAAAUUAAUCUUUGUAUCAAUAAGCUCUGCCAAAUUUUCAUCACUUCUAUCGGAUUCAAGUAACAUUGCUAGCUUUGAUGUUAGGAUCUCUGUUUUUAUUUUUUUACACCGUCGAAUCUGGUUUGCCCAACUCGUUAAAUCUCUUUUGAUAUCAUCCAUCUUGCUCAAAAUAUCACCUUUGGCAUUUUCCUAAAUACGUCUAACUUCCUCAAAAAAUGUUUCCUCCAAAACCCAUCAGGCCUCAAACUUAAAGUUUUUUUAAAUCAGCCUUCCAACUUUGUGCUCUGUACUAAUAAGAAGUGGACAAUGGUCCGAGAAUGAAUAGGGGAGAUGUUUAAUUUGAGAAUUUGGGAAUAAAAAAAUCUAUUCUUCCGUAGCUACACCCUUAUCCAACCUCUCUUGAAUGUUCGUUUCUGGGAGGUUCCCUCUUUCCUAAGUAAACCAAUUACCUAAAUAACCCACAUCCACCAAGCUACAAUCUUCUAACGUCUUUCGAAAAGCUUCCAUUCUUCUCUCAUCUCUAGGGAGACCUUUUUUCUUCUCAAAGCCAUAUAAGAUGUCAUUAAAGUCCUCACAAACCAGCCAUGGAUACUCUUCGUUAUUACUUAAUCGUCUUAACAAAUUCCAUGAAUCAUCUCUAUCAUGUGUGUAAGGAGAACCAUAGAAACCUGUAAAUCUCCACUUCUUCUGAUCACCUACAUCCUCAAUAAUCACAUCAAUAUGUCGAUUAGAGAAACUUUGGAGCAUUAUAUUAGCAUCCCCUUGCCAUGCUAAACUUAGUCCCCCUCUAGAACCAACCGAAUCAACAUCAAUACCAAAAUGAAACCCGCAACUCGACUGAACUUUUUCCAUCUGAUACUUAUUAAUUUUUGUCUCCAUAAAGAAGACCACUUAGGGAUAAUGUAACUUCAGCGUAUCCCGAAGUCUUCGAACUAUCCGUGGAUUCCCCAAACCACGGACGUUCCAACUUAAGAUUUUCAUUGCGAUCAGUCGGCUUGCCUCUUGGCAGCUGCCGAUAAUAAAUGAGUAACUUCAGGCAUUCUCCUAUUUCUUCUUCCCAUGGUACUGCUUUCUUCAAUGUCCCCUCUAGGCCUCUUUUUCCCCUCCUCGCCUAUAAUCACCUCAUUCUCCAGAUCAUAAUCCAUUGCUGUUUUAAUUUGACCACCCAAUGUUUCGUCAUUCUCUAGGCUUGAGUGAACCUUUUUUCCUUCCAGAUUGAAUCCUAAAAUAGGGUUAAUGUUUGUAUCACAGCUAAAACUUCUAACAUCUCCCUAUCUACUGUUUCCUCUGGGAUCUGCAUUAAGACUGCUCACAACUCCUCCUUCCUCCCUUAACCAAACACUACUCAUUGUUUGGGCUCUUUUUGUCUGUGCACGUAAAGUCAGAUCCCAACCCAUGUUAGCAAUUUCUGCCCCUAGCUCCAUCUUGGUUGCACAAAAAGAAUCACUAUGACCUAGACGGCCACAAUAGAAACAAAAAGGGCCAGUCUUUCAUACUUGAAUCUGACAUAAAAACACUUGCCACUAAACAUGAUUUGUUUUUUCCUUUUUAGAGGGCGACGAAUAUCAAUUUGAACCCGUAUCUACAAAAAAUUUCUAUUCUUUUUCUCGAAACUUGAGCCAUCCUACUCCAGAAUAUUUCUUAUAAAAUUUCCCAACUGUGUAACCAAAUUUUCAGAAUAGUAACCCACGGGAAUGUCAUGAACUUGUACCCAGAAGGGAGUUAAGGUUAAAGGGACUUUUAAUGGAUCCUCUUCCCUUUGCAACUUAUGCAAAAUUAAAAGAUGAUUAUUAAACAUCCAAAGGGAUCCCUUUAAAACCUUUUCCAUAUCUAUGAUGUGAUAAAAUUGAAAUAAAUACCUUUUUUCACCCAGAUCUCUAAUUUGAACACCCUUAACAGGAUUCCAUAAAUUAGCAAUAGUGCUUUUCAUUGUUGGAAAGUGAACAAUACUGGCUGUAAGAAAACAUCCAACCAGAUUAAGAACUCCUCUUUCACUAAUUGAAUCUGGAUCGACUUGUAUCUGCAGAACUGCUUCUUCUUCUUCAUCAAGUGUUAAACCGGCGAAUUCUGAUUCCAUGGAUGUAGUCAGAAAAACAAGAGGCGUUGAAAAUUGAUUUUUAAACUUAAUAAGAUUAUGGAGAUGGUAGCCGCCCAACAAAGGAGACUCAAAACACAAAAACCUAAAGGCUUGCUAGAGAGAGCAGACAGAGACGUGCUAGAGUAGCGGACUUGAAAAUCCUAAUUAAAUAAAAUUAAUUUGCAAAUAAAUAUGUUGAUUAAAAUAUUUAAAAAUAAAUUAAGAAUGUUAUAAUUAAUAAUAUCAUAUUUUGUUUUUUU
rnacentral:lncRNA from 1 species